rnacentral:lncRNA from 1 species
ACAAGGAUACCAAAGGAUGGCAUAAUAUAGGCUCAUUUGCAAAAGCAGCAUUUAGCAAAACAUUUAAGAGAAGUAAAACAGUGGAGUAAUUAAUUAGAAAUUUUAAUCAACACUGAACAACACACCCGUGCUGCACAGGCCCAACCAUCCUGAACAACCAUACCCGGCUGUACAGAUCUAACUCCAAACCAGGAGCUAAGCAAAUUAUUACCAGGUAUAACAUCUAUAAUUAUUGUGAGAGGUGUGAGACUAAUCACGAAAAACAUUGCUCAACUCGCCCAUAACCGCGGGCACGGCUAUUCGAAUAGUUUUACUCUGGCCAGAGGUGUACCACUGUACCCACAAGACACAGCCUCAACAUCAUGUCUACCAUGCGUCGCGAUACUGGAAAGUACCCGAAUAGAGGCUGUGACAAUACCCUCUGCAUAACACAACUCACCAUAGUGCACCAUUCCUGGAUCAUAAUCACCCCCUCAAAAACCAGAGGCAUGGACUCCCCAGCGACCCCCGUGGGCUUAUCUCCGCCACUUCUCAGUCUGGUGCUCCGCAAUGAAUCAUGCUAUACAAAAGGUAAAGCCGUUGCCCACGCUGGCUUGUGGUUGGCACGGUUAAUGUUUCACAAUAGUAGCUCGCGAACCGGUCCUUAAUUGUCAUGAGCACGACUCUCAAAACCAUGUGCUCACAACCCACCAUUAUCAAGUUUUAGUUGGCAAGUAAUUAAUUAACCAAUCACGAUUGACCAUCGUGAACUAUCAUUAAGCCAUCAUUAAACAACAGUGAGUCAUGAGUUAUCCCAAUAGUGUGCUAAUGUUUCUAAGCAUGGCUAAGCAAUUAUAUCUAAUAUCUAGUUGAACCAAUAUAUAUAAAGCUCAAUUAGUCAAAUUAUAAUAACCCAAGGUAUCAAGGAUUAAAGUAAUCAAUGCAAACAGGCCAUAACAAAGGAAUAGAUUCACACCACCCAGUGACAUUCGAAAAUAAAUGCACAGUUGAAAUAAAUAGAGAAUUUAAAUAUAUGAUCAACAUGUUUAAAGGAUUGUGUUUAGGAUCUGUGUGACUUGCCUUGCAAUAAUCGGUCUUCAAUUAAUCUUCUUGAAUACUUCCGGCGCACUCGCGAACCUUCGCAACGAUGGAAACGACAAGCUAACACGCAAAACGAAGAAAAAGACUAAUAAAAACCAAAUAAACAAUACAUAAAAAGUAAACAAACAUGUAGAUCAUAAUUUUAGAUGAAUUAUGAGACUUGAACGGCCUCAUUCUGACUUCAAAAGAAUUUAUUAUGAAUUUUACAAGAUUAAAUCUAAUUAAAGCCCAUUUAAAAAGAAUUAAAUAAAUUUAAUUCAAUUUAUGGACAAUUUUAAUAUGUAGAUCUUUAUUUUAUACAACUUUUGCAACGUGAACCAUAUUAAACUGAGUUAAGAUGAAUUAGUUAUGAAUUUUUAAAGAUUAAAUCGGAUUAAAACACUUAUAUGGAUUUUAAUUGAAUUAUGACGCAAUAAUGAAUUAUUUUUGAAAAGGAAAAGGGAAUUAUUGCGUCAGCGGCUAGGGUUUGCGGUGGACCGGGUGCACGGCAACGGUUCAUGGGAACGAACGGCCGAGAUCAACCCUAUCCAAAACGGACGGCCGAGAUCGAUCGGUCCACGACCGGCUCACGGCGGACGGUCCCGAUGACGUCAGCGACAACGUCAGCGAUGACGUCAGCACCGGCGGCGACUCGGGUGGCUCGGGCGCGCAUGCUCGCCGGCGAACGACGGCUCGACGACGCGAACGGAGGGCACCAACGGGUAGAGGGCGACGAGGCGAACUCACCGGUGACCAAAGCGGCGGCGGAAGAGCAACGGACGGCGCCGGCGACGAGGAAAAAACGGCGGCGAAGAUCGGGUCGACGGCGGCGACGGUGCUCCGGCGGUCUUCGGCGGCGGUGAAGCGACAGACGAGGACGGCGACGACUUGGCGAUCCCGACGGUGGCCUUCCCGAGUGACGACGACGACCGAAGCGACGGCGGCGCACGGCUGGACGAACGGCGGCGAUGGCGGCGCAAAAGCUCACGGGGCUAGGGCGCUACACAUGGCGAGAGACGAAGGCGAGGGAGGCGGCGGGUAGAGGAGACACCGGGGGUCCUUUUAAAGGGGCUAAGAGGCGGCGGCGAAGGCCCAUGGCGGCCGGCGGCGAGAAGGAAACUUCGGGUUCGGGAGAGAGAGAGGAAUCCGAUUCGAUCUCGAAUCCAUCGACUUCCAUAUCGAAUUAGGCGACGAUUCCAAAAGAGAAAAGGAAGAGGAGAUCGAGGAGAUUAUUUCCCAUCUAUCGAUUCGGCCGGAGAAGGAAAGACGCGGCCGAAUUUGGAAGGAGACGGCGGCGCUUGCGCUAGGGUUUCGGGCGGCGGCGGCGGCGCGAGGAGGAAGACAGGCCUGACAGACGGGCCCCACCUGUCAGCGGCUGAGAGAGAGAGGAGAGCGGCGGCUCGGCGGAUUGGGCCGGACUGGGCCGAGGGAAAGAGAGAGAGAGAGGGUUUUGGGCCGGCUUUCGGCCCAAAGCCAAAAGAAGACUUUUAAAAACUUUUUUCAAUUUAAAUUAUUCAUGAAAUGCAAUUCCAUUUAUUAAAAAUACUUCCUUAGCUCAAAUAAAUCCCAGAAAAAUCUAGGAAUUAUAGAAUUAAGCAAAGUAUUUAACAAAAUUUUAUCUAGCCCAAUUUUAUGUUGAGAUUUAACAAAUUAAAAUUAGAUCUUCUCUUUUAGGCUUUUAAAAUCAUUUCUAAUAAUUCCUUUUAAACAACAAUUUAUAAUUUAAGGAUUUUAAACAAGAAAAGCACUUAACAAUUAUAAUUAGAUCAUUAUUGAUCAAAUAAUUACUGAACUGUUCUUUGUAUCAUUUAGGAAUUGAGCUCUGAAAAAUCCGAGAAAAUCUCAGAGAGUUGACUUAAACAUGGAGAAUUUAAUAAAAAUUAAAUCCAUCCAUGCUUUAUAUUUAGGAAAUUUUAUUUCCCACAUUUAACUUCACUUGUAAAUUAAAGAUCAUUUAAUAUGAAUUCUAAUAAUAAUUUAUUAAAUAAUUUAUAAAUCCUGAAACGAAAAUCAGGAUGUGACAGUUCCACACUCGUUGGUUGUGCCCUGCCGCUGCAGCCUCCCUGUCACCACAGAUCCGCGAUCACCGCGUACGCUAAGCGUGCCAUCCAUGGAUCUAUCACUCGAUCUCUCUAGUCGUUUUCGGCCACGCUCGGUCUCGUCUUUCGGCCACGUUCCAUCAUAGCAGGUCUAAUCAUCAGUGAGGUCAUCGCCUCUACAACUUCCUUGUUGUCGCCAUCAAUCUCAUUGCCAUGACUGAUGAUUUUCUGUCAAUGCACGACCGCACUUCAUGUUUCUUCCUUCGCAUGUCUUCUUGAUCUGAUGAAACCUUCGGCUCUAUUACUACUUGUUAUAAAAGUUAGUUGAUAUAGCGGAACGACGACUAACCUUCUCAAUAGCUUCGUCUAUUCAUCACCCAAGACAUGCCAGAUGACGAUAUAGGAACACAAGAUAUUUGUUAACGAGGUUAGCCGAAACCUAAUCCCAGGGGCUCUGAUUAUGGGCGUUCCUCCCCAAUAAAUAUAGCACCUUAGCUGCCACGAGUACAUGGCCUCGUCAUCAUCAUCUCCCUGCAUGUUUAUCCUACGUUGUAGUCUACAUGGUUAUAUUGUGGUGCCCCCCUCUCUAUUUAAGAAAGAUUUUUGGGUUACAGAGUGUGACUCUAACUAUACCCCUACCACCUAUUACAACUAUAAAUCCAUUUGUAACCAAAUAGAACUAGUAUAUUCGAUACUUAUUCUAACAAUACGAACUAAUGAUCAUAACAUAAUUGGGUGGUAUAGUCUUUUUAGUCUUCUUUUUUGAAAUAGACCGUUAACAUGUCAUAUGGGUAACGCUAGUCCAAAAUUGGUGACCAAUCGACUUAUGGAUUGAAUAGAGAUAAUUGAAUUGAGGGAAUAAAAGCAAGUGUUACACUGAAACAAUCUGAACCGACCAAGUUAAAUCGAAUGGGCAGUGGCCAAUAACAAAGGUACUUUGGAGCGCUAAAUUUUGAUCUAAUAGAUAAAAUUUAUUGACUUGAUGUUGUGCAAUUAAAAGAAAGGAAAAUAGCUUUAAUUGCAUCCAAUGGAGAUGAACUUUAUACAUAUACAUAUAGGAUAUGCAAAAAGAAUGAUAGAUGCAAGAAUUUCCAUUUUGCCUUUCUUUAAAAGAAAGGGAGGUACUAGCUAGUACAAUACCUUGGGUGGAAUAUAAUCAUUAUGGCUUUGAUUUCUUGCAAUCGAAGCAAUAAGAAUAAUGAGAUCGAGCUAUGUCGCGGAACGGAAAGAAAAUAAAAGAAAACAAAAAAAUAUGCCAGCAUCAAAAUAGCAAAACAUUUGAUGCCAUGCGAUUGCAGUCAUUGAUGAACGAUCGAUAUAUCUCUGCUGAUUUAAUUUCCAAUGAGAAUUCAUUUGUUUCUUUCUUCCUUCUGCAUAUAUUGUUUUUUUUUCUGGUGAUUUUUCUCCUUUGUUGAAUUACUAGCACUCCUCUGUCCUUGUUUAAUUUUCUUUGUACAAAACAAAACGUAUAUUCACUCAUCACUCUUCCCCAUCGACACUCCAUACCUUUGCUGAACCCACACUUCUUCUCUUCUCUCCCUUGAUUCUUCCCUCUUCUUCAAGGGAGUCAUAGAUACUUCAUCCUCUAGUUCUCCUUCUCUUGUAUAAAUUUUCACGAUGCAACUUCGGCAGAGGCAGGAAAACAUUCAUCAUCCUUCAGCGGGUGCACAGCAAGACAGCGAGGCAUCUUCCACCUGCACCUUUGUGACAACAACGACCGACAAUGUCGUCGUCGAGCGCAUCAUGGUUUGCGGGUGGGCAAAGACAACAUCUUUUUUUUCCUUCUGCGUUGUGUGGUGGUCAUAUCUCUCUUCUCUCCUCGAAUUACUUUUACGGUGAUCUCAAAAGGUUGCCAACAAAUACGUUGCACGGGCUUUUUAGUACUAUUAUACAAACCGUAUGAUUUUAAUUAUGUGUCGGGUGUAUUGGUUAAAAAUUUUAUUUUCUGUGGAAAGAUUAAUAAAUUUUAUUAGUCAUUUAACAUAAAUAAAACUUGGUGAUAAAAAAUUAUAUAGAACAUGUUGCAAUAUUCCAUCUGUUGCUAUCUGUUUUCUUAAUUUAAUUGUUUAAAUUUUUUGAAUGAGUAAGUACUGAUUUUUAUUCAUAUGGUACUCUCAGUAUAGUUUUUGUCUUGACUUCAUUCAGUAAUUUAAAACUAAUAAUUAAGUACUGAGUAUUGUUUGGCGCCUUGUUUAUAGCUUUUGAAUCAUUUAAUAAUUUUGAAUUCUGUAUGUAACAUAUAUGGAGUUGUAUUUGGCUUGGAAUCUCAAGUAUAGUUCUUCCAUGAUGUCAUAAUUCUGUGACUGGUAUUAAUAAGUACUUGUACCCUGUCAAAAAAAAAGUACUGAGUUGUACUCCGUUUGGAGUUUCAAUUAUGCUUUUUCUUAUGAUUUAAUAAUACAGAAAUUUAUAAUUAGUCAUUGCCUAUUUGUUAUUGUAUUGAAGUCGUUGACAUUAUUCCGAAAUUAGGAAAUUAAUUAUUACAAAAUUAAUAAUAAGGAAUUUUAGAAUUAACAAGUAUCAAGCUAUACUAAGUAUAUCCUUGAUUUAAUGAUCCUUAAAUUCAAAUUGACAGGUACGGAGUAGUAUUUGUGGUAUUAUAUUUUGAAUCUUGUAUUUCUUCAAAAUUGACUAACAUGUAUUUUUGUUUUAUUUUAAUCUGAUUUAGCUGAUAUUUGCGUGUUUAUUUUCUUCGGAAUUUCAGUUACAUGUAUUAUAUUUUACUAUAUCAUUCUAAUUCUACCUCACAGCCAGUGGAAGGCCAUAUUAUUUUUCCUUUGUCCUAACUAAUGUUAGAAUUUGUCCUAAUUAAUGUUAGAAUUUCUUAUAGGCCUAACUUUUUUAAAGAUAAUAUACUUCCUCUGUCCUAGAAUAUUUCAUUUCUACCAUUAAGUUUUAUCAAAAAAAAUAUUAUAUUUCUAAUGAGGUGGGACCCAAUAAAUUAAUUGGAUGAAGAUUGCAUUGCCUCAACCUUCACUUUAAUCAAGUCCUCUAAUAAGAUUAUUGUGGUCAUUUGUGUAUGCUGCUAAUCUGAGAUUCAAUUAUUCUCUAACUCCAUACUUUUUAGCAAAUGAUACUAGGAAAAACAACUCCGCCAAAAUGUGCUCGAGUAAUUAACUAAUAACCUACUCUGUCCUGUUCCAUAAUUCUUGACAUUUUGAAUAAUAACACGGUCUCCAAAAUAUAUAUUUUACUAUGUUUUUCUAUUAUAAUAUAUACAAUAAAUUAGGCAAAAUUUGCCCUGGGACACCUAGAAAUUGUGUAAUUGGCUGGGGGACACCCGAAAGGCGUGAAUUUGCCUGAGGACACUCUAAAAGUGUGGUAAUUUGCCACAGGACACUGGGCACAUUAAAAUAUAAUAUCCACUGAAUUGAUGAGAGAGAAACCGCGUAAAAUGACAGUUUUGCCCCUUCUCUUCUUCCCCUUCCGCUCGGCGCUUCCAUCGACGGCACGCCCGCCGCCGCCACCAGUGCAAGCACCAACACCACCCACGGCUCCAUCCUGUGUUGCAUGUGAUCUGAAAUCGUUCUCCGUGCGCAUAAAUAAAGCUAGCCAAAACACUGUCUGAUGAUCUCCAAAUCUCCACCAUGUAGCUGGUUACAGGAACAGCAAGCACACUGCCAACAGCUUAGCUCCGUGGCAUACCAGUGCUCCGCCCGUGCUGUGCCUGCGCCUCGCCGCCGCGCGUGUGCCACACCGCCAUGCCUGCACUGCACCCUCGUGCGAGCACCACGCCACCGCGCUGCACAGCGCCUGCGCUGCCCUUCACCACGCCGACUGCGCAGCUAGGGUUGGGAUGGGAAAUUUUUCACGAGAGAGAGAGAUGGGGAGGAAGGGAAGGGGCUCCUCCACAAUCUCCGGUCAAGCAGAGCACAAGCGUGCUAGCUCUCCCGGUGGCUUGCCUCGCCGGCGUCGGAGACGGCGACGGUGCGGCGCAGGAUGGAGCCGCGGGUGGUGUUGGUGCUUGCGCUGGUGUCGGUGGCGGCGGCGGGCGUGCCGUCAAUGGAAGCGCCAAGCGGAAGGGGAAGAAGAGAAGGGGCAAAACUGUCAUUUUACGCGGUUUCUCUCUCAUCAAUUCAGUGGAUAUUAUAUUUUAAUGUGCCCAGUGUCCUGUGGCAAAUUACCACACUUUUAGAGUGUCCUCAGGCAAAUUCACGUUUUUCGGGUGUCCCCCAGCUAAUUACAUAACUUUUGAGUGUCCUGUAGCAAAUUUUGCCAAUAAAUUAAUAAAGUUAGUUUAUUUUUAUUGUAGUACAUUGUAAGACAAAUUUAUAUAUGUUGUUUUAAUACCUUUAAACUAAAUAGCUUUAAAGUUACUGAUAGUCAAAGUUAUAAAAGUUUGAUUUUAACCUUGUUCUAAACGUCAAGAAAUAUGGAACCGGAGGGAAUACCAUUUUCGCAUGUGCCCGCUCUCGACUAAUCUCGGUAUAUUACGUACUCGUACAGUGAUAUUAGUAUAUUAAAAGAAACUCCUUGCUCUUUGUCUUACAUUGCAACUAAUUAUGCUACUAAAUUUUUCAAGUAAAAACGUAGUGCAAGAUAAUGUGAUGAAUAACCAACAAUCUUGUAUUCAAUCAAGCUGUAUAAAAGGGAAAUUUGUAAAUGGAGAUGUUUACCUGAGAAAAACAUAAUUGCUGCUUCGUCCAUCAUGGGUGAACGUCUGAGAUUAUAUGCAAAUGCGAACAUGACACCACGGCAUGGCUGCUUAGUUGCUUUCAAUAGCAAUUCCGAAUAUUCAUAUGGGUACAGCCGUACAUGAGCGUUCAAUCCAAAUAUUACGUAUGGUUAUAUACCUUUGAAUUCUGUUCCACGCAUGCUAAUUUAAUUUCUGUGGAAAAGAUUCUUACAAUAUCUAUAGACACCGGUAUGAUUAGACUUACCAUCAUGAUGAUACGAUCCACAUAACCAAUAACUAGAUGUUUCUGAUUAAUAUAUAUGGAGCUCGUAGAAAGUGUCAAAUUAGUAUAGGUAUAGUUAUACUGAUAGAUUCUACUAGCAGUAUUAGCCAGUACAAAUGGCCUCAAUGGUUGAUUUAUUAGUUUUAUUACCAGUAGUUAUUUAUGAUGAUAGUAUAAAUACAUAUGAUCUAUUCGCGAUUCUAAUGCCCCUCUAAAACAUAUGCGCAGAGAUCUUCACAGAUGACAGGGUGAGGACCCUAUCACACCAAGUCUCCACACUUGGGGACAGGGUGUGGGAGUUGGAGCACAAAAACACCAGGCUGCUUGGCGAGAAGGGUAAACUGGAGAAGCAAUUGGAGGAGACGAAGGCGGCGGUUCAGGCCAUCUCAAGCGAGAAGGAAGAGGUGGAGAGGAGCUUGAAGGGUGAAAAUGAUAAGCUUCGGUUGGAGGUUUUGACCGCGGAGGAAAAAUAUAGCCAGUCUGCAGCAGAGGUUGAGAAGCUUCAGAAGGAAUUAGUUGCAUUGGCAGAGGUGAAAGAGGUAGCUGCAAAGGCAUUUGAUGAUGAGAAAGCAAAAAUGAUGAUGGAAUCUGUGGAUCUUAAGAGUAGGCUAGAGGAAAUCCAGGGUAACAUGGAUAUGAUUAAGAGUGAAAAUGAUAAGCUUCGGUCAGAAGCUUUGGUUGCAGAGCAGAAACUAAACAUAUGUGAAGCAGAGAUUGAGAGGCUUAAGAUGGAAUUGGGUGCAUUGACAGAAGCGAACGAAGCAGCUGCGAAAGCAUUUGACACUCAAAAUGAAGAAAUCACGAAGGAGCUAGAGGAUCUUAAGACAAAGUUGGAGGAAAUCAAAACAAAUAAGGAUCUAGCGGAAAGUGAAAAUGGUAAGCUUCGGUCGGAGCUUUUGUCAGCAGAGGAGAAAUACAGCCAGUCUGAAGCAGAGGUUAAGUAUCUUAAGCAGGUAAUGGGAGCAGUGGUGGAGGCGAAGGAGGCAGCUGCAAAGGCAUUUGCUGCCGAGAAGGAAGACAUUAUGAAAGAAUCAGACAAUCUUAAGAGGAAAGUUAAGGAAAUUCAGGAUAGCAAGCUUUUGGUGGAGAGUGAAAAUGAUGAGCUUCGGUCAGAGAUUUUAAGUAUGAAGCAGAAACAUGGUCAAUUUGAAGUAGAGGUUACUAGCCUCAAGAAGGAGCUGGGAGCACUAGAGGAGGCAAAGGAGAUCACCACAAAGGCAUUUGAGGUUGAGAAGACAGAAAUCCUAAAGGAAUUGGAGGAUCUUAAGAGGAAGGUGGUGGAAAUCCAAACCAACAAGGAUUUAGUGGAGGUAGGGAAUGAUAAACUUCGGUUGGAUGUUUUAUCUGCACAACAGAAACAAAGCAUAUUAGAAGUAGAGGCUAACAAUCUCAAGAUGGAAUUGGGUGCAUUGGUGGAGGCAAAGGAGGUGGCUACGAAGGCAUUCGACGCUGAGAAAGCAAAAAUAACGAAGGAAUUGGAGGAUGUUAAGAGGAAGAUGGAGGAAAUCCAGGUCAAGAAGGAUUUGGUGGAGGGUGAAAAGGAUAAGCUUCGGUUGGAGAUAUUAAUAGCGGAGCAGAAACAUAGCAUGUCUGAAUUGGAGGUUAAAAGGCUCAAGAUGGAACUUGGUGCAUUGGCAGAGGCAAAUGAGACAGCUGUGAAGUCAUUUGAUGCUGAGAAGGAAAAAUUCAUCAGGGAAAUGGGGGACCUCAAGAGGAAGAUAGAGGAAAUCCAGGUCAGCAAGGAAGCUGCUGAGGAAGUAGGGCGCAACAAGAAUGCAGAGGCUGAUAGGCUGAGGGCUGAGUUGGUGAAGAUCCAAGUUUCUUUAUCGCAACUACAAGCAUCCUAUAAUGAACUUGAUGCUAAGCAUUCUCUCCUAAAUGAUGAGAAGAAUUCAGCCCAGAAAGCAUUAGAUGUUGAGAAGGUUGAAGCAUAUAAGCUGAAGUCAAAAUUUGAGGAACUUGAAAAUUAUAAGGCUGAAAAGGAUGAAGAGGCUGGGAAACUGAAGGCGGCAUUGGAGGAAAAGAAAAGUGAGAUUGAUGUCCUCAUCAAGGACAAUGAGUUGCUGCGUCUCGCAAUUGCUGAGGCACAGGAAAAGAAUAAGGGAAGCAUUUUAUCAUGCUUAUCACCAUGCGGCUCCAAAUAAUUAGGUCGGGAAUGUGUUGCAUUAAUAAUGUAAUGGUGAUCAAUUAAUACUAUGCAAUGAAAUAAAACUUUCACUUCCUUUGUUAUAUGUGAUAUGCAAGAAUGCUAAUGUUCUUGAUUAGUCAGGUACAUUUUGUGAUGUCUCUAAACUGAGUAUUUUGGUAAACCUGUCACCUUAACUAUUACUCCCUUUGUCCCAAUUUAGAGGGCAUGUAAAUUUUUUGACGGUGUACCAAUUUAAAGGGUGUGGUUCCUUUUCCACUGCUUUUCUUCCCGGAGUACCCUCUGCAUUCAUGCACAUGACGCUUGCACAUGCCCGCGCAAUAAGGGUGUGUUUGGUUCCUCGCAUCUUCCUAGCAUGGCCCAUCUUCCUCAUCCAGGUUGAGUUUAUCCUGUUAAGUGGAUACACACGCAGUCGUUUGGUUGUUUGCAUCAGUCUAGCCUGGCUCGUACCAGAUAUUGUUUGGUUGUUUGUGCGAUAGAUACGGUUUGGAAGAGAAUUUGUUUGGUUGAUUUUAUGAGCCAUAUGUAUGAGGACUUUUUUUUUCCUGUGGGUGAGAUUACCGAUUGCAACUAUUUUCUAUAUUAAUAUUUUUCUUCUGGUAAAACUCAUAAAUUGAACUAAUUGUCGAAACUAGAUUUCGGCAAUAAUAAAAGGGGGUGGCUAUCAAGCUCGAGAAGUGAAUGGGUUUGGAGACAAAGGAUUUAUACAGGUUCAGGCCUUCUCAUUCAAGAAGUAAUACCCUACUCCUGUCCGGGGAUGAAUCCGCCGAGUAUCUUAUUGAUUGUAUGAUUUGGAGAAAAUCAACACAUGCCCCUAGAGGCACCCGGACCCCCCUUAUAUAUGGGAAGGAGUCCGUAUUACAAAAGAUAAUCUAUAUCCCUAACGGAAUAUGCAGAUACAGAUAAAAUACAGUCGUAACCGACUAAGUCUCAAGGUAUUUCCUUGAUGUACAAGUUGAGAAACAAACCCGAGAUACAAAUAAGAUAUUCUAUCUAUAUUCGGUAUCCUAUAUUCAGUCCAAAUAUCAUCGCCGUGUAGAUAUGGGACAUCCAUAAUCUCCACAGUAGCCCCCGAGACCUUUGCAGUCAACCAUCAUAGCCUUCUCAAAGAUAAUAAUCCGAGUGCUUCAAACUUUUCAUGCCAAGGCCUGCCGAGUAGCGAAGACGAAGACUGUAAAGGGCGAAAAGAUAAAGAAUAUGGUGCAUCGAAUAGAUGCACCUAAUUAGGUGUAGCCCCCAACUAUGUGAUUAGUUAACAAACUAAACAUAUAGUUGAGAACAAAAUAAUAGCACAAUCGUGCAUCAUAUGACAAAAGCAUACACGGCGCCUAAAGAGGCAUUCUUAGCCGACUGCUUUUUAGCCAUAAUUAAAAGGAAUCCGAGUGGUUAACACUCUAAAAGGUUCACGAAUGAACACACUUGACAGGCAUCCGAAUAGAAAACUCUAAAGAUUACCCACCAAAUAUUAUAAAAAUUAUGGUAAUGAAUAAGUCUAAUAGCCUAGGCUAUGACUAUUUACCAUAAUGAAAACAGGCAUAUAACAUACCAAGGAAAUGACUAUGGUAAAAACAAGUCAUUCCAAGUUAACCCAGACAGCUUUUGUAGCCUAAAAAAGCUUACAAAAACAGCAUAACACCUUUCUGUCGGGCACCUUUUAAUUUGCAUUGCAAUAAUUCCAAAGAAUUAUAUGACCGCGUAAAAAGGAUUUUAUCAGCAUUGGGCAACACUAUUGUGCGCAUAAAUUGCCAAAGCAAAAAAUGCCUAAGUCCCUAAGGAGCACAAUGGGCCACGCUGUUAAAAGUACUGGGCUGAGGUACUGUUCAGGCCUAAGCCCAUUCGCACCUCCGAUACCCUUAACAAGAAAUCCCGUGAUCCAAGCGACACUUCAUCUUCCCCGCCGGAACUCUCGCCAUUUUCCCCACUCCCUGCUACAGUACAGAGCUGCGCCGGCAAACUAGGGUUCACCAUUCCACUCGAAUCCACCUUCGAAAAGUUCAUCAAAAUCCUUCCCGUGAUCCACCGCCUCAAUCCCUCACCUCUCCCUAGCCAUCCCUCGAAUCAAAUCAGCGCAUUCGGAAAAAAUCAAUGGCGGAAGAGAAGGAAAGCUUUGAAGGCCAAUGGGCGCCAUCCGACGUGACGGAGGAGAACCUGAAGGAGAUGGUGGCGCACGGCGUUCUCCCUGCCAAGGAAAUCAUCGGGUGGCGGCCAGCGUGCGGUGAGGCUUUUCCGACCCCCGAUACACACGAGGCUGUAGUCUUCUCCCAUUUCUUCUAUGGCGGCUUCGCUCUUCCGACCUCAAAAUUUUUCCGCGGGAUAUUAAGCUUCUAUGGAAUCAGCUUGCAUCACCUAAACCCAAAUUCCAUAGUUCACAUCGCCAAUUUCGUCCAUGUUUGUGAAGCCUUCUUGGGAAUUAAGCCCCACUUCGCUCUGUUUCGCCGAAUCUUCUUUCUCAAGCCCCAACCAAACAAGAGUAAGCCAUGUGUAGUCGGAGGGGCCGGAUUUCAGCUGAGGGGGACUCUGAGCCAGAAGUACUUCUCUAUGCCCUUCAAGACCUCAAACAAAGGGUGGCAUGCAAACUGGUUUUAUAUUCAGAAUCCUGAGCCUGCUCUUCCCGAGUACUCUUGUCUUCCUCCGGUGUACCAAGAUACCUGGAACUCUCUUCCGAUUGGGGAUGAAGCAGCCCAAGCCUUGGAGCUGAUGGAUCGCAUGCUAAAACUCAAAGAACAAGGCUUACAAGGAGAGCAGAUUACUCGGCACUUCAUCAAAUGCCGAUUGGCACCAAUUAAAGAAAGAUCCCGUACGGUAUUCGAGUUUGACGGCAAGCAUGAUCCUAAUCGUGAAGAACCAGAUUCUCUGGAUUUUAAAAUCAUGAAGGAGAGAAUGUGUAAAAUCUUCUCAAAUGCUAUUGUCGUCAGCUACUCACAUCAGCUGCCAGUUGUGCCAUAUAACGCAUUCAAUCCGCCUCCGCAGGUACGUAUCCGAAAUCUUCAACCUAUGACCAAAACAUAAUCUUGUCUUCAUGUUGAGUUAACUAACCGUGGAGGCAUCUCAUUCAGGAAUAUGUAUUGAUGAAGUCUGACCCCCCAAUCACUCAGCGCCGGUCUCCUCGCCAGCACACCGUUCAGGGAGGUGGAGGGCCGACAAUCAGAUCAGAUCCGCAACCUCAAAUCUCCAAUCCGACUGGGCAGACAGGUUCUCGCAAGAGAAAGCUGGUGCUUAAUGAUGACGAAGGCGACGACGGCAACAAAUCUGGGGACAAAGGCUCGCCCAAUAAACUCCCAAAGCAUACCACUCCCAGGAAAAAACUGGCUAGUCGUCCAAGGCCAAAGAUUAGAACAUCUUCCAGGUAUAAACCUCUUGGCACCAUUUCACUUCAACAUGCUUCUCUCAUGGAAAUAAUACUGAAUAUUGAAAGAACACUUUGCAGGAAACCAUCCGACAUAGAUCCAACUGGAAAAGAUCCUGAUCCGACUGUGACAGAACCAAGUUCAUCCAAGGAUUCUGAGCCGACUGCCGAAAGCCAGCCGACUGGCGCCCAUACUUCAGGUGAUAAGGCCAAUCCGAGUGACCAGCCUCCGACUGGAAACCAGUCGGCAGCAACUGAAACUACAACAACCCAAGAGCCCCCGAUUGGAAACCAGUCGGAUGUAGGUCCAGAUCAAGAAACUCCCGAAGUUGAAGCGCAGACGACAACUUCUCAAGGACCAGAGGCUGGUAACGACUCGAUGAUUGGGUCUCCAGAUAAAGAACAAGGAUCACCCCACGCUCAGCUAGGAACAUCCUCAAGUAACUCAUCUUCUCAAGUGAUGCCGAUUUAAAUAACUUCAGCUUAUUCGUCUAAUAUCUUGGAAAUACAUCAGGACCACCAGGCGAUGACGAAGAAGAAAUUCCUCGCAUAAAGGCGGCUGAUGACUCUCGUCCUCCUAUCUUGCUCAAAUGGUGGGACGAGAACUCACAAGCUGCCGGCAUCGUCAUAAAUCGUCAAAAAGAAGAUGAGGAAGUGUGCCAGCUGAAGAAGGCACUUGGAGAAGCCACUCGCAUUGUGAAUGUAAAUCUUCCGGGUGACUGCCUUUGAUGACUUUGUUUUCUCUUCAGCAAAACUAAACCAUGAACCAUCAUGCAAAGAAUCCAUCUUCGCAAUGAGGCCAAGACCGCAACUUUAGAAAAGCUGGUUCCUCAUUUGGGAACUCUUGAAGCAGUUAGGGACCAGCUACACGAGGCCAAGGAGCUCGCCAAAAAGACAGAGAAGGAAUUAAGGGACCGAAUUGCUCAGCUCCAGGAUUCAAACUUCGAGCUGAGUGGUUCAUCAAAAGGUAAUCUCUAGAUCUGUCCCAUUAAUUUACGCUGUCGUAACUGUAUCCUCAACCAUUUGGAUUUCAAACAGCGCAAGCCGCCAGGAUGGCUCAAAUGGAGAAACAAAUUGAAGCCCUGGAAAGAGACAAGGUAGAACUGGCUGCGCAAAGGAACUCGGCCUUGAAGGAGGUUGAAGGUACUGCCAGCUGACAAUCUGAACUUCUCUCUUUUUAAUGCAGUAGAUUUUUAUCAUAAAUGUGUUUUGUAGACCGCAAAAUCAAAUCUCAAGCUCAAUUUGACGUCCUGGUUGGUAAGAUCAAGAGGCUUGAAGGAGCAAGAGAUGAAGUCGCUAAUGUCGCUACACCACUCGUCCAAGCUAUGUUCCUCAAUAACAGUGGUCCGAGUGCACUCGACGCAACCGAAAUCUUCGACAAGCUGAGAGUUGCUCCGGAUGUAUAUUUCAAGAAUAUCAAGAAAGCUGGAAGUAUGGGAGCUAGCACGGCAUUGGCGAUGACCAAAUCCUUGUACCCGAGGAUUGAAAUUGACGCCAUUGAUGGCUUUACAGACGGGACAAGCGUAGAGGCUGCUCUUGAUCUUAUCAGCAAUGCUCAAAAUGCGGCUGACAAGAUUGCAAGUGACGUCGUAGAUCAAUUCCGCAACACCGACCUUCAGCCGAGUAGUAAUAACUCUGAUGAUGAAAGGAUUGAUUCUGACUGAGCAUAAAUGUAGCAAAUGGAGGCAUAACUUGUACAAUACUGGUGUAUUUAUGCUGUGCUUGAUAAUUCUAGCCAAGUCUUUGAUUUCUUAAAAGCUUUUAUCAAGCUUUGUUGAGCCUAAAACCCAAAGAAGCUAUUAAAAACUUUCAGUCCUCGCAGACUAAGUAGAAAAAUCAAACAAGGCAAUGAUAGACCAAGGAAGCAAAUUGAAUUGAUAAAAAAUCACACUCCGUUAUUAUGAUGAUAGACCCCGACUGACAACUUCAAGAAGAAAACUUGAUGUUGACAGUCAAGAUAGGGAAGUACAGUGAUAAGCUUAAGCGUAGAAACGACGAAGAUGUUCGAUGUUCCAAGAGUUGUCGACGAGUGUACCGUCUUCGCGCUUGAGUCGAUAGGAACCUGGCCGGGUGACUGCAGAGAUGAUAAAUGGCCCUUCCCAUAGAGGAGAUAACUUGUGCCGAUCUCGUGUAGUUUGAAUUUUCCUCAAAACGAGGUCGCCGACUAGAAAGGCACGGGAUCGAACAUUGCGAUUAUGAUAACGUCGCAACCCUUGUAAGUAUCGAGCCGACUGAAUCAAAGCUGCUUCGCGGACUUCUUCCAGUCGGUGCAAGUCAUCCACUCGGUCCUCCUCGUAGCGUUCUUCGCGGAAAUUACGAAAGCGCAAAGACUCGAAUUCGACUUCACUCGGCAACAUUGCUUCUGCCCCAUAGACAAGGAAAAAAGGUGACUGGCCUGUGGCCCGACUGGGUGUAGUACGCAAAGACCAAAGUACUGAUGGUAGCUGUUCCACCCAUUUACCGGCAUAGGGUUUUAGCCGGUCAAAAACUCGCGCUUUAAUCCCUUGAAGUAUCAUGCCAUUGGCUCGCUCCACCUGUCCAUUGCUCAUGGGAUGUGCCACUGAGGCAUAGCAAAUCUUAAUUCCAAAGUCUUCACAAAAGUCUUGAAAAACUCCGCCAGUGAAUUGUCUGCCAUUAUCAGUGAUGAUCCGAUUGGGCACUCCAAAUCUAUGCACACUGUUGAUGAAGAAGUCUCGAGCGUUAUCUGCUGUGAUUGUGACAACCGGUUUAGCUUCAAUCCACUUGGAGAAUUUGUCAAUGGCCACAAAGAGGUGCGUGUAACCGCCGACUGCCUUUUUAAACGGGCCAACCAUGUCGAGCCCCCAAACCGCAAACGGCCAAGACAGUGGGAUGGUCUGCAACUCUUGAGCUGGUAGAUGAAUUUGUCUGGCAAAAAACUGGCAACCUUCGCACGUGCGCACAAUUUUGUCGGCGUCGGACACUGCAGUAGGCAAAAAAAACCCUGCCGGUAAGCUUUGCCGACAAUGGUGCGUGCGGCAGCAUGGUUUCCGCAUAUCCCAGAAUGUAUGUCUUUCAGCAAUUGUCUCCCUUCCUCUAAAGAUACGCAGCGUUGCAGAAUCCCUGAAGGGCUUUUCUUGUACAACUCAGCUUCAUGCAUAACAUAAAGUUUGCUUCGUCUUGAAAUCCGCUCGGCUUCAUCUUUGUCUUGGGGGAGUUCUUGAGAAGUCAAGAAUCGUAUGAGGGGCUCUCGCCAGUCGGCUUCAACCAUAGCUACGUCAUGAGUGCCCGCAACUUGAGUAGUAUCUUUGUGAGGUACUGUCGGCGUAUAAAGGUGUUCGACGAAAACAUCGGAGGGCGCCACCUCGCGCUUGGAUCCAAAGUUGGCAAGUCUGUCGGCGGCUUCAUUAUUGUGUCGAAGAACGUGACUGAGCUCGAGUCCAUCGAACUUGUCUUCCAAUUUGCGUACCUCUUGUCGAUAUGCCAUCAUGUUGUCGUCAAGGCAGGACCACUCUUUCAUAACUUGGUUGACGACCAGCUGUGAAUCGCCUCGAACUAUUAGACGCUUUAUCCCUAGGGAGAUCGCAAUUCGCAGUCCAUGAAGGAGCGCCUCAUACUCGGCGACGUUGUGGGACGCCGAAAAAUGUAUCCAAAGCACAUAGCUUAAUCUUUCUCCAGCUGGGGAAAUUAGAACCACUCCUGCUCCAGUGCCCGAAAGUCUUUUUGAUCCGUCGAAAUGCAUGGUCCAGUGCUCCAUCUUCUCCGCGGGGGUAUCCUCCUGGCACUCGGUCCAUUCGGCGAUAAAAUCAGCUAACGCUUGGGACUUGAUUGAAAUUCGGGGCUUGAAUGAUAUGUCCAAAGACAUCAACUCCAAAGCCCACUUAGCAAUCCGUCCGUUUGCUUCGCGGUUGUGCAGUAUAUCACCGAGUGGAAAUGAUGUGACCACCGUUACCGAGUGACCUUGAAAGUAGUGAGAUAGCUUCCUGGUAGUAAUUAGAAUACCAUAUAGCAGCUUCUGAACCUGAGGGUACCUCGUUUUGGAGUCGGCUAGGACCUCGCUGACAAAGUAAAUCGGUCGCUGGACUUUCUGGACAUGGCCUUCUUCCUCACGCUCAACGACUAAGACUGUGCUCACAACCUGGGAGGUGGCUGAUACAUACAGCAACAACGGCUCCUGCGGGUGUGGUGAGGCUAAGACCGGUGGCUCGGUGAGGAGUUUCUUAAAAUCUUCGAAGGCCUUCUGUGCUUCGGGUCCCCAUUGGAAAUCAUCUGUUUUCUUCAGUAGCUUAAAGAAGGGCAUCCCCCGCUCGCCAAGUCUUGAAACAAAUCGGCUGAGCGCCGCCAUGCAUCCAGUCAGCUUCUGAACAUCUUUCUGGGUACUUGGCGGUUUCAUGUUGAGGAUAGCAGUAACUUUCUCCGGGUUGGCUUGGAUACCCCUAUGAGACACCAUAAAACCAAGCAGCUUCCCUGACGGUACUCCGAAGGUGUAUUUUUCAGGGUUUAAUUUCAUCCUGAAAGCGCGGAUGCUCGCGAAGGUUUCUUCUAGAUCCGAGAUUAAAUCAUCCUUUUGUUUGGUCUUGACGACUACAUCAUCCACAUAGGCUUCAACGUUGCGGCCGAUCUGCGUUGAGAAGCAUCUCUGGAUCAUACGUUGAUAAGUUGCUCCUGCGUUUUUUAGUCCAAACGGCAUGGUGACAUAGCAGUAUGCUCCAAAGGGCGUGAUGAAUGAAGUCUUCAAGCAGUCGGAUUCCUUCAGUCGGAUCUGAUGAUACCCCGAGUAGCAAUCCAAAAAACUGAGAAGCUCACAGCCGGCGGUCGAGUCGACUACCUGGUCAAUGCGAGGCAACCCAAAAGGAUCUUUAGGGCAAGACUUGUUGAGGUCAGUAUAAUCAACACACAUGCGCCAUUGCCCCGUUUUCUUCCGAACUAGAACCGGGUUUGCCAGCCAGUCGGGAUGAUGGACUUCUUUGAUGAAGCCUGCCGCUAACAGCUUGGUUAAUUCCUCCUUGAUCGCGUCCUUCCUGUCUUGUGCGAAUCGGCGGAGUCGUUGUUUGAUAGGCUUGGCAUCUUCUUUGACAUGUAAGGAGUGCUCAAUCACCUCUCUAGGAAUACCGGGCAUAUCAGAUGGUUUCCACGCAAAGAUAUCUUUAUUGUUCUGAAGAAAGGUGAUGAGCGCGCUUUCCUAUUUACAAUCUAACUCGGCGCCUAUUACAGCAGUUUUAGUAGGAUUAGAAGGAUCUAGGGGAAUCUUCUUAGUCUUGGCUUCGCUUUCUCCACUUUUUGAAGUCUUGGUAGCGGGCACUUCUCCUUCGCUCGCCGUGGCUGCAGCCAGUCGGAUAUCCUCUCGGGCAGACGCCAUCUCGCGGGUUUGGGCCAUGUCGCAACUCUCCUUGUCGCAUGUGACGGCUUGCUUGAUGUCGCUCCGUAGGGAUAGGACUCCUCGGGGACCAGGCAUCUUCAUCAUCAUGUAAGUGUAGUGCGGGACGGCCAUGAACUUGGCUAACGCCGGGCGUCCGAGUAUGGCAUGGUAUGCUGUCUCGAAAUCGGCGACUUCAAAGCUGAUAUUCUCUGUGCGGAAGUUUUCCCGAGUGCCAAAAGUGACCGGGAGGGUGAUCUGGCCGAGUGGAGUUGCGGAUAAUCCUGGAAUUACUCCGUGAAAAGGCGCAUUGCUUGGUUUUAGCUCGGAGCGAGGAAUCUGCAUAUCAUCCAAGGUCUUGGCGAAGAGGAUAUUGAGUGCACUGCCUCCGUCGAUGAGGGUUCUGCGAAGCUUGACGUUACGGACCACUGGGUCUAGUACCAGGGGGUACCGCCCCGGGUGGACCACUCGGUCAGGAUGAUCCGAGCGGUCAAACUUGAUUGCAAUCUCUGACCAUCGAAGAUAUUGGGGCGUGUCGGGCUGAACAGCAUUGAUCUCCCGUUCGGUCAACUUUUGCUUCCUUUUAGACUCAUAAGCCAGGGGGCCGCCGAAGAUAUGGUUGAGCUCCUUGCGGUGGUCUUGAAAUUCUACCGGGGUGUCGCCGUCGUCCUUCUUCCUCGACGUGCUUUGUUCUUCGUCGGAGUUCUUCCGUGUAGUCUUGGCGUAUUGCUCCGCGAAUUGCUUGUAGACGAAACAAUCUUUGGCCACGUGGUUGGAGUUAGGAUAGUGCGGGCAUUGGGAGUUCAUGAUCUUGUCGAACGUGUUGACGCGCGAACGCUGUCGAGAAGAGUGAAUGGCGGUUGCAACAAGUUCCUCAGGCUUACGCUUGCGGUCCUUAUGAUUGUUACUUCCACCUCCUCCCGUAGCCGGCGUAUCCUUUUUUGGCUUCCAACUGGGACCCGACUGCUUUGAUGCGGUGACGGCGUCUUCGGCUUUGGCGUACUCGUUGGCUUUUUCAAACAUAAGUUUGACUGUCCUGGGAGGUUUACGCCCGAACUUGCCGACCAAUUCUUCGUGGCGAAUCCCUUUGGUGAAUGCGGCGAUGAUAACGUCGUCGGUGAUGUCGGAGAUCUUGUUACGUUGUUCAGAAAAUCGCCGGAUGUAAUCUCGAAGGGAUUCUCCGGACUUCUGAACAACGUUGUAGAGGUCGAAUUGUGUGCCGGGACGCUCGAAGGUACCUUGGAAGUUGGCGAUGAAGUGGUCGCGUAAUUCGGCCCAAGAUCCAAUCGUACCACGGGGCAAUCCAUGGAGCCAAGAUCGGGCGGAAUCCGCUAAAGCCACUGGUAAAUAGUUCACCAUGGCCUUGCUAUCUCCUCCUGCUGCGCGGAUCGCGAGACCGUAGACGGUAAGCCACGAUUCUGGGUUGGUGGUACCGUCGUACUUCUCUAUUCCAGUCGGCUUGAAGCCGGCUGGCCAAUCCACUCGACGCAGGUCGUCGGUGAAGGCUGCUACUCCAUCAAGGUCGUCGUCGUGGCGGUCCGGCGAAUGAUGAUGGCCUCGAGCUGCUCGGCGCUGUAUGAUUGUGUCGCGAAGAUCGACGGGGCGGCGACGAGGUGGUGAGCGAGGCCGUUCCACUCGGCGCUCCCUAUGAUGGUCGGGAGGCGAGUGAACGGACCGCUCGUCGUGACCCCUGCUCCUGCGAUUGGAUCCUGCGCCAGUGAUGCUGAGGCUUGGAUGACGGUAGUCAUGAGAUCGGAAGUGGGGGAGUCGGCUGCCAGUCGGCGUGCGGACGCUUUCGGAGUUAACUGGGACCGAAGCCGCAAUCAUGGUCUUUGUCUGGUUCAAGAUGUCGACGACGUGAUCAGAUUGAUUGAGCUCGUUUUCCUUGAGGAGGGCGUCGAGGAGGGUGAUCGCGGCAACCGCAUUCUGUUGAGGGGUGCGGAAAACCGGUGUCCCUUCAACAUCUUGUUGGCCGAUGAAAUCACGCGCUCGGCGCCCUGCUUCCAAGGCUCGCUGCUGUCGGUCCUCAGCCUCCUUCGCGGUUCGCUCACGCUCCUGCUGCUCACGCCGUAGCCGUUCUUGUUCUUGUGCUUGACGCUCCUCCUCCAGUCGGCGACGCUCAGUCUCGCGACGUGCUUCGGUUUCCCGGGCUUGGCGUUGCUCCUCCGUCUCGUUAUCGGCCAUGAAGACGCCGAAGUAGAGAGGGGUGUAGUUGUCAUCUAGGCUUCCGUCGAAGUCGUCGAGAUCCGGGUCGUUGUAGCGAGAGCUAAACUCGUCGUACUCUACGAUGUCGGUGGGACGCGAGUCGACAGUGGGAGAGCUGUAGUAGCCAUCCAGCUGAUCCGUCGAAACCGUGCCGAGUGGUUGGAGGAUGACGCCGACUUCCCUGAAGCUAGGCGAAAUCGGUGUUGAAGCCGACUUCCGCCUAGGCCUACGGGAUGGAGACGCUGUCGUGAUGGAGACGGCCGCUAAAUCGUCGGGGAGCUUCAUCAGGAUCGGUGGGUAAGCCUCAUCAUCUUGAUCUGGUGACAUUGGAGAAGAUGCGAUCUCGCCCGAGUGGUUUGAAGCCAACUCGAUUGAGAUGGUCUUGAAGUAACUUUCAGCCGCGUUUGGGAGUCCAAACGGGACUGAAAUCCGGUUCUCUCCCGACUGGUCUGACUCUGAGUCAAGGAGAGAGAUCUUGCCGAAGUUGUUGGUGACGAAGUCGAGGCUGCCGAACCGAAACGUCUGCCCGGGUGGGAAGACGAGGUCGUCGAUGCCGGAGACGGAACCCAUUGCACUGAUCGGCGAAAAGCUUGACGCACCCCUACCUGGCGCGCCAACUGUCGAAACUAGAUUUCGGCAAUAAUAAAAGGGGGUGGCUAUCAAGCUGGAGAAGUGAAUGGGUUUGGAGACAAAGGAUUUAUACAGGUUCAGACCUUCUCAUUCAAGAAGUAAUACCCUACUUCUGUCCGGGGAUGAAUCCGCCGAGUAUCUUAUUGAUUGUAUGAUUUGGAGAAAAUCAACACAUGCCCCUAGAGGCACCCGGACCCCCCUUAUAUAUGGGAAGGAGUCCGUGUUACAAAAGAUAAUCUAUAUCCCUAACGGAAUAUGCAGAUACAGAUAAAAUACAGUCGUAACCGACUAAGUCUCAAGGUAUUUCCUUGAUGUACAAGUUGAGAAACAAACCCGAGAUACAAAUAAGAUAUUCUAUCUAUAUUCGGUAUCCUAUAUUCAGUCCAAAUAUCAUCGCCGUGUAGAUAUGGGAUAUCCAUAAUCUCCACACUAAUGCAGUCCUACACAGUAAACUAACAGGGUAUUUAUUACUAUAAUAGUGGCUACUUAUUACCGGUUGGAGAAAGCUAAAAAAUGAAAAAGGAGAAAAGGGAAAAAUCGUGCUAGUCCCUUCGCAUUCCUCGCCACUAAGCACGACAAUUCGCUGCUUGCUAUCUGCUCCGCUGAGCCUGGCUGCUCGCCAUCGUUGCCGCAUCCCUAGACCACUCCAAUUGGUUGCGCCAUGGAUCUGGCAAGGAUGACGCAGACCACGACAAGGGGUGCGAAGUUAAUGACCUUGACCUCGACCUCGACCAUUCCAAUUGGUUGCGCCAUAGAUCUGGUGGUGCCGAGCUCAACCGCUCGAACAAGUCGCCGCCCCGGAUCUGGCUGCGACAAGCUUGUCCACGAAAAAUCUGACGGUGGCGAACUUUCAGUCCCAGUUACUUACUGCUAGAAGAGAUGGUCGCCGAUCUUUGUCAAGCUUCUCUCUCCCUUCAUCGCGUCACCGGUGAGCACAGUGAAACCUAGUUUGGAUCUUGUGGAGGAAAAAUGAGGAGGCUGGGUGCACCCUUGCACACGCGGGUGCAGCCGGGUGCACGCGCGCGUGGGUGCAGCACGUUGCAUCUGUCGGGCCUGGCUGAGGUGCGAAGCUCAAAUAGAGCGUUUCCCCGCAGCCAGCCUGAGGAACCCUUUUUGAACGAGUGGAGCCAGGCUGGGAAGGUCACCCAGGCAACCAAACAAAGAGAGAAUGCAUCCAUAGAUGCGGGCCAAGCUGAAUGCAAGAAACGAAACACACCCUAACUGAUCAGGCGACGCAACUGCCUGCACGUGGAGCUGCACACGCGUGGGACCACAGGAUUACAUGCAUGCAGUUGUUACAGCUGGUAAAAUAACAUACUAUAAGUCAGCUAUAAACACAUAUCGAGAAGAUAAAAGAGGAGAGAGAAGAGCAGCGUGCUACAUAUUUAUAGCCAGCUGCAGCACAGACUCUUACACACAAUGUGAGUAUGACAAAUGGAACCAUGUAAUAAUAGUGUAGUAUAUGUUUAUAAGUAAUUAUUGUAUGAAUUGGCUAUUAAGUUGACUAUAGUUGAUUUGGAGCUAGUAGUUGGCUAUACUAUUAAACUUGCACUUAGUAAUCUGCAUGUGUUUGGAUCAAACCUGUUUUAUUAGGGGCAGUUUAGGAAAAAAUUAACUCUGCAUGUGAGCUCGUUGGUCUCGGUGAAUUUAUUUGUGCGCCCUCUAAAUUGGUACACAGGGGUGUUGACGGUCGUUAGCGAUUAGUUUCGACCAUCAAUAUUACUAAAAUAGAGAAGAACUAGUUAUGCUUGCAAUACAUAUCCAUGUUAGAAUAAUAAUAUUUCACUAGUAUUUGGUUCACUAACCUUUUAUAGACAAUAACCAUAAAGUGGAGGAGAAUCGACAACAAAUCAGAUGAUAAAUCAAUCGGACAAUGUCGAGAAUCAGACUUAUGCAUGAAUGGGCCAAGAACUCAGAAUUGACACGACCAAUUGGGCCAAAAUUCACAAGUCUGCAUAGGAGAGCAACGGAGGAGGCCAUCUGCCGAUUUUGGGCCAGGCCCGCUGUCACGCCCAGAAAUAUAGCCCUAAAUUUCCAGACUAUUUUGUGUAUUAAAUCCCUGUCCAGGACCAGCCAGGGUACACAAAAAGACAAGUAAUAUACAGUUCCAAACAUAAAUAAAGCGUAAAAUACUUACAGAAGGGGCACUUAGUCCCCACACCGAAACGAAAGCAGCAGCAGCGGAAAAAGGCGAUCCUAACGGGGCUUCAGGUCCACUCCACAGGCAAACUCAACUGGGGUCUGAGCCUUGGUCUUCUAACUUCGUCUUCAACUCAGAAGCACUACACUUCUGAAAAGGGGGAAUAAUAGCAAGGCUGAGUACAACCACCGUACUCAGCAAGCCGCACCAAUGAUGCAAACGUGCAAGGGGAUACAAGGAUGGUUUGUGGCUAUUUGCAUAAAGGCGGUUGUAAAACAUUUUAUUGAGCAAAACAGUAAAAUAGUUGAGUAAUUAAAGUAACCUUAAAUCUCCACUGAUCAACGCUACACCACGUUGAACAGGCCCAACCAACCCACCUGAACUACAGUGCAUUAGGUCGAUUUAUUAAGUGUGAGACUAAUCACGGUGAAUCUGGUCGACCACCCAUAACCGCGGACACGGCUAUUCGAAUAGUUUUACUCUGAUCAGAGGUGUACAACUGUACCCACAAGACACAGCCCCACGACACGUUUCCGUGCGCCGACAUGCCAACACGACAUACCGGAAAGAGGCCGUGACAGGACCCUUCGCAUAACCCCCUCUAACCGAUCGCACCACACCUUCGGGUUCGCCCCCGUCCCCAGCAGGCAACGGGCAGCCCCCCUUUCGUGCCGCGGUGAAUCCGGAAGCCGAUCAACCGGACACCCCGGCCGACCCAACUCCAUCACGCCCACCCUCGCCUGGGUACGUCGGCUAGAGAAAAGCUACACUACAAGCCCAGCCGUUGCCCACGCUGGCUUGUGGUAAGUACGAUAAGUUCUUCCAGGGCAUCCCGCGAACCUGUCCUUAAUUGCCAUGGGUGCGACUAGCAAAACCAUGCACCCAAAGCCCACCAUGCAGUCGCAUUUUAGUUGGAUAAUUACGACCAUGAAGCAUGGCUAGGUGUCUCGAGCACGCAGCUCAUUCUGAUACUAAAAUGGUCUAAUAUUGUAAUUAUCCCAUCAACUGAGCUAGUGUUAUUUAAGCAGGGCUAAGCAUAUAGUUCUAGCUAGGUCACAUAAGUAACAUGAACUAGUUUAUUUAUUACACAAGGUUGACAAAUGUCACGACCGGAAAUAACCCAACGGGCGUUCCUUACGUGUGUGUAUUAUUCCUUGUCCCAGGAGGCAAGGUACACCAAAAGUUGAUACAUUUCAGAGUUUAUCAAGCGGAAACGUAAAUAGUUACUUUAUUACAUGGGCGGCGAAGGCCCAGCACACACAAAGACAAACGGGAAACAGCGGAAGACUAGGGCGACGACCACAGGCGCUUGACGGCAGGCAUGAGCUAGACACCAAAGCCUUCAUCAUCCAGGGGCUCCUCUUCUGGGUUUGGGAAAAAUUGAGCAAGACUGAGUACAACCACCGUACUCAACAAGACACACCCACAAGUGCAGAAUAAAUGCAAGGGAGUACAAGGGAGCCAUAAUAUAGGGGGGUUAGGGUUUGCAGUAAACAGCACUAAAAGACACUUAGUUGCUCAAAGCUAUUUUGUAAACACAGUCCUAGAGCUAUACAAGAUUGUUAAUCAAGGCCGUGAACUCACACGAACUUGCCUUAACCCAAGGCCUACGAUGAUUCAGACCGAACUGGCAACCCGACCCUGGGUCCCAGCUCGUCCCAAGCCAACCCAGGCCAACCAUUCUACAUUUUAGUUGUUAAGCAGGUUUUAAGAAUUAAAAACACUAACUUGGGUACAUUGCUCGGCUUGCCCAUAACCGAGGGCGCGGCUAUUCGAAUAGAUUAUACUCUGAUCAGAGGUGUACAUCUUUACCCACAAGACACAUCUUCCUCACGUGUAACCACGUGCCACAUACCACUGUCACGCCCGGAAUUUCUAUCCAAAAUUCCAAACGCUUACAUGUGUGUGAACCCUCGUCCAGGAAUCAGCCGAGACACACAAUAACAAAUUGAUAAUAGAGUACAAUUAUUACUCUAAUUAAUAAGCGAAUAAAAUGUCAUUACAGAGGUAGAUAAUUCCUCUCAAUCAAUUAUGAUCUAAGCAGCGGAAAAAAAAGAUAAACGGCGCAGACGGCUCCACUCCACAGACAGCUUGACCAGGGCUACACCUAAUCCUCCACACUAUCGGCUUUACUGUAGAACUCUUCCUCUGAUGAAUGAUUGCAAGGUGAGUAUAUGACAUACUCAGCAAGUCACGCAUCAAAUAUGCAAGUGCACAGGAUAACAAAGGAUGGCAUAGUAGGGUUUCAUUUGCAUAAACAGCAUUUAAUAAACAUUUCAGAAUUUAAUAAAACAGUUAAGUAAUAAUUAAACAAUAUUAAUCCAACGCUAUAUAACAUACCCUGUUGUAUAGGCCCAACCAUUCUGAACAACCAUACCCGGCUGUACAGAUCUAUCUCCAAACCAGGAAUAUACCAUUCCAAACCAGGAGCUAAACAAAUUAUUACCAGUUAUAGCAUCUUUUAUUAUGAUGAGAGGUGUGAGACUAAUCACGAAAGACAUUGUUAGACCCGCCCAUAACCGCGGGCACGGCUAUUCGAAUAGUUUUACUCUGGCCAGAGGUGUACCACUGUACCCACAAGACACAGCCCCACAACAUGUCACCAUGUGCCUCAAUACCACCACAGUACCUCGGAAAGGAGCUGUGACAAUACCCCUCGCACAACACAAUCCACCACAGGGCACCUUUCCUGGAUCAUAAUCACCCCCUUAUAAACAAGGCAUGGACUCCCCAGCAACCCCCGUGGGCUUAUCUCCGCCACUUCUCAGUCUGGUGCUCCGCAAUGAACCAUGCUAUACAAAAGGUAAAGCCGUUGCCCACGCUGGCUUGUGGUUGGCACGGUUAAUGUUUCACAACCGAAACUCGUGAACCGGUCCUUAAUUGUCAUGAGCACGACUCUCAAAACCAUGUGCUCACAACCCACUAUUAUCAAGUUUUAGUUGGCAAGUAAUUAAUUAACCAAUCACGAUUGACCAUCGUGAACUAUCAUUAAGCCAUCAUUAAAUAAUAGUGAAUCAUAAGUUAACCCAAAAGUGUGCUAAUGUUUCUAAGCAUGGCUAAGCAAUCAUAUCUAAUAUCUAGCUGAACCAAUAUAUAUAUAGCCCAACUAGUCAAGUUAUAAUAACCCAAGGUAUCAAGGAAUAAAGUAAUCAAGAACAAAAAGGGCUAUAACAAACAAUAGGUUAAUUCCACCCAAUGACAUUCGAAAAUAAAUGCAAUAGUUGAAUAGAAACAGUAGCUUUAAACGGGAUCAACAUGCUCAAAGGGUUGUUUGGGAUCUGUGUGACUUGCCUUGCUGGCCUUGGAACUCUUCAAAAUCUUCCCCUGCGAAAACGGACUCUCCGGAAACGUCGGAAUCUAAACAGAAAGGAGCAAAAUCACCAAACAGCACAUAAACAAGCAUGAACAGUACAUGUGGGUAUUUUUAACAUGUAGAUCUCGAUUUUAGAAAAAUUUAGAGACUUGAACCAACUAAAUCCGAGCUAAGAUGAAUUAGUUAUGAAUUUUUAAAGAUUAAAUCGGAUUAAAACACUUAUAUGGAUUUUAAUUGAAUUAUGACGCAAUAAUGAAUUAUUUUUGAAAAGGAAAAGGGAAUUAUUGCGUCAGCGGCUAGGGUUUGCGGUGGACCGGGUGCACGGCGGCGGCUCACGGAAACGAACGACCGAGAUCGAUCCUAUCCAAAACGGACGGCCGAGAUCGAACGGUCCAUGACCGGGCCACGGCAGACGGCCACGAUGACGUCAGCGGUGACGUCACCUCCGGCGGCGGCUCGGGCGCGCAUGCUCACCGGCGAACGACAGCGCGAGGACGCGAACGGAGGGCACCAGCACGUAGAGAGCGACGCGGCGAACUCACCGAUGACCAAAACAGCGGCGGAAAAUGAACGGACGGCGGCGGCGUCGAGGAAAAGGCGGCGGAGUCCUUUGGCUUGACGACGACGGCGAUGCUCCGGCGGUCUUCCGCGACGGCGAAGGGGUGGACGAGGAAGGCGACGCGACGGCGACCACGAUGGCGACCUUCCCGAGCGACGGCGAUGACUGGAACAACGACGAAGCACGGCUGGAGCGACGGCGACGACUGCGGCACAAGGUCUCACGAGGCUAGGACUCUACCAGCGACGAGAGAUGAAGGCGAGGGUGGCGACGGGUAGCGGCGGGCUUGGGGAUCCUUUUAUAGGGGUUGGAAGGCUGCGGCGAAGGCCCACGGUGACCGGCGACGAGAAGGAAAGUUAAGGCUCGGAGGAAAGAGACCGAUCCGAAUCGAACUCGAAUCCACGGAUUUCCAAAGCGUUUUAGAGGAUGAUUCCAAAAGAGAAAAGGUAGAGGAGAUCUCGGGAAACAUUUCCCCUCAAUUGAUUUCACCGGAGAAGGAAAGGCGCGGCCGAAUUUGGAAGGAGACGACGGCGCGGUUCGGCUAGGGUUCGGGCGGCGGCGGCCGGAGGAAGACGACGAGUCCGACAGGUGGGACCCACCUGUCAGCGACAGCGAGCGCUCGCGCGGGCGGCUGCGGCUGUGGACUGGGCCGACUUUCGGCCCAAAGCCAAAAGAGACUUUUAAAAAAAACUUUUUCAAUUAAAUUAUUCAUGAAAUGCAAUUCCAUUUAUUAAAAAUACUUCUUUAGUUCAAAUAAAUCCCAGAAAAAUCUAGGAAUUAUAGAAUUAAGCAAAGUAUUUAAUGAAAUUUUAUCUGGCCCCAUUUUAUAUUGUAAUUUAUUAAUUAAAAUUAGAUCUUCUCUUCUAGGCUUUUAAAAUAAAUUCUGAAAAUUCCAUUUAAACAACAAUUUGUAUAUUUAGGAUUUUCAGGGUGUGACAAACCUACCCCCUUAAACAGAAUCUCGUCCUCGAAAUUCGGAAGAACUGGCGAACGGAUGCGGAUGAGCUGACUUCAAUUCAUCUUCUCGUUCCCAAGUUGAUUCUUCUUCCGAGUGAUUACUCCAUUGGACUUUGCAAAAACGGAUAACUCGAUUCCUGGUUCUUCUCUCAUCUAUUUCCAAAAUACGGAUUGGUUUCUCAAUAUAGGUCAGAUCCUCUUGGACUUCUAUCUGUUCAAGAUUAGCUUCUUCAGUAGGUACCCUUAAACACUUUUUCAAUUGCGACACAUGGAACACAUUAUGGACUCCUGCCAAAGAUUGAGGUAACUCCAACUGAUAAGCGACCUCUCCUCUUCUACUGACAACCUUAUAAGGUCCCACAAAAUGCGGUGCCAAUUUUCCUUUAGUGUGGAAACGAUGAACUCCUCGAAGAGGCGUGACACGAAGAUACACAUAAGCUCCUUCUUCAAAACUCAAAUCUCUGCGGCGAUUGUCGGCAUAACUCUUAUGACGAGACUGGGCCACACGCAAUCUUUCUUGAAUGAUUUUCACCUUUUCUUCUGCUUCCAUCAGGAUAUCCAUCCCGAAAACCUGACGUUCUCCCGUUUGAUCCCACAAAAGCGGAGUGCGGCACUUCCGACCAUACAGUGCUUCGUAAGGAGCCAUCUGAAGACUAGCUUGAUAACUGUUGUUGUACGAAAAUUCUGCAUAAGGUAGAUUCUUAUCCCAACUUCCACCGAAGUCUAAAGCACAAGCUCUCAACAUGUCUUCCAAAAUCUGAUUUACCCUUUCGGUUUGUCCGUCUGUCUGCGAAUGAUAAGCAGUACUAAAGUUCAGCUUAGAACCCAUCUCUUCCUGAAGCUUCUUCCAAAACUUUGAAGUAAACUGACUGCCUCGAUCAGACACUAUUUUCUUAGGGACGCCAUGCAAACACACAAUCCUUGCCAUAUACAAUUCCGCCAACCGAUUUCCAGAAUAAGUUGUCUUUACUGGGAUGAAAUGAGCCACUUUGGUAAGUCUGUCGACUAUCACCCAAAUAGAGUCAUGGCCUGAUGACGUUCUGGGUAGACCAGUGAUGAAAUCCAUACCGAUUUCCUCCCACUUCCAUUCGGGAAUCUUCAAAGGCUGUAGCAAACCGGCGGGUUUCUGAUGUUCUGCCUUGACUCGCUGACAAACAUCACAUACUGCUACGUAUUCCGCGAUUUCACGCUUCAUACUUGCCCACCAAAAUCUUUCCUUGAGAUCCUGGUACAUUUUGGUACUACCAGGGUGAAUGGAGUAUAAAGUAUCAUGAGCUUCUUUCAGAAUUGCAUCUUUUAAAUCUUUGUUGUCGGGGACGCAGAUUCUCUCACCCAACCAUACAGUUCCUUGCUCAUCCUCCAAGAAACCGAUAGCUUUUCCUCUUCUCAUAUUCUUCUUGAUUUCUUGAAUAUCAGGAUCAUUAAUUUGGGCUUCUCUAACUUGAUCAAUUAGAGUGGGCUUCGCUUCUAAGGCUGCAACGAAACCUCUACUGACAAUCCCCAAAUUUAGUCUUUCAAAUUCCUUGCAUAACUCCAAUGGCAACUGUCGUCCUUCCGUAGCAUUGCAAUAGUCUUUUCUGCUAUGAGCGUCUGCUACAACAUUAGCCUUUCCCGGGUGAUAAUGAAUUCCCAUGUCAUAAUCCUUAAUUAAUUCCAACCAUCUCCGUUGUCUCGUGUUCAGGUCUGGCUGAGUAAAGAUAUACUUUAAACUCUUGUGAUCGGUGUACACCUCUGUACGAGUUCCGAAAAGAUAAUGACGCCAAAUUUUCAACGCAUGAACUACUGCAGGUAACUCAAGAUCAUGAGUAGGGUAGUUCUUCUCAUGCGGACGUAAUUGACGAGAUGCAUAGGCAACCACCUUCCCAUCUUGCAUCAGAACACAACCUAACCCAAGUUUGGAUGCAUCGCAAUACACUUGGAAACCCUUCUUUGGAUCAGGUAAAAUCAAAAUAGGAGCUGAUAUUAAGCGAUUCUUCAACUCUUGAAAACUCUGCUCACAUUUUUCUGACCACUUGUACUUCACAUCUUUCUGAAGCAGCCAUGUCAUGGGCUUAGCAAUCUUGGAAAAAUUCUCUAUAAACCUCCGAUAAUAUCCUGCGAGGCCUAGGAAACUACGAAUUUCUGAAACUGUCUUUGGUUGUUUCCAGUUGGUUACGGAUUCCACAUUACUAGGAUCGACGGCAACUCCUCCCGCUGAGAUGACGUGACCAAGGAACUUCACUUCAGACAACCAAAAUUCACACUUGCUAAACUUAGCAUACAGUUGAUGUUCUCGUAGCUUCUCUAGUGCAAGGCGAAGAUGUUCUUCAUGCUCUUCUUUGGUUCGGGAGUAGAUAAGAAUGUCAUCAAUAAAGACCACCACGAACUUGUCUAGGUAUUCCAUAAACACCUUAUUCAUCAAGUUCAUGAAGAAAGCGGGGGCAUUGGUAAGUCCAAAAGACAUAACAGUACAUUCGAACAAUCCAUACCUAGUGGUAAAAGCUGUCUUAGGUAUAUCUUCCUCUUUGAUUCUCAACUGGUGAUACCCUGAUCGAAGAUCUAUCUUGGAGAAAACGGUGGCACCUUUAAGCUGAUCAAACAAAUCAUCAAUUCUGGACAGCGGAUACUUAUUCUUGAUAGUCACAUCAUUUAAUGCACGAUAGUCCACACACAUCCUCUGGUUAUGGUCUUUCUUUUCCACAAAAAUAACCGGAGCUCCCCAUGGAGAUGAACUCGGUCUGAUGUAUCCUUUCUGAAGCAAAUCGUCUACUUGCCUCUUGACUUCUGCUAAUUCAUUGGCUGCCAUUCUAUACGGUCUCUUAUGGAUCGGAGUUGUUCCUGGUACCAAAUCUAUUCUAAACUCUAUAUCCCUUUUAGGCGGCAUACCAGGUAAAUCAUCUGGGAACACAUCAAGAUACUCCCGGACUAUAGGAAUCUCUUCCAAAGUUAUUUGGUUCAGUCUUGACCUUAAAGAUUCAGAAGACAAUGCAUGAAUAGUUACAACUCGACCAUCAUUGCUGGUGAGAGUUACUUUUCUGUUGGCACAGUCUAUCACACCCUUAUACCUGGCUAACCAGUCCAUCCCUAGGAUGACAUCAAGGUCUUUGGAUUCUAACAGGAUAAGAUUGGCCAGAAAUGGUACGCCUUGAAUUUCUAUUCUGACAGAGGGGCUACGUUGCAAAGAGAGUGCUUGAUUGCUUGGGGUACUAACCAUCAAAGGACGUCUAAGAUCUUCUACUUCCAUACCAUGAUUUCCCGCAAAACUCAUAGAUAAGAAUGAAUGUGUAGCACCAGAAGCAAAAAGCACUGUUGCAGGAACUAAGUUAACAAGAAACUUACACAAAAUCACAUCUGGAGCAUCUUGAGCUUCUGCAGCAGCAACAUGAUUGACACGGGCCUUUGAUGCUGGUGUGGUAGAGUUGCUCUGGACAGGGACAACCUUCACGCGUCGGGGCUUCGGACACUUGUCAGCGUAAUGUCCUGGGUCUCCACAGUUGAAGCAUACCACGGGCUUGCUGCCUUGCUCCCUCUUGGCAGGUUGUUGCUGUGUCGAGGCUGCAACAGGACGUGGAGCUUGAUUACGGAUGUUGUUGCCCGCGUUGUUGUUGAAGAACUGACGCUGCGGACGAACAACAGACGAAGAACCUCCCUGUGGCCUGGACUGGGGUCCUAAAGUAAGACGCGGCCUCUGACUAUUCCCCUGUUGUGCCUUGAAGUGAGCAAUCCGGCGUUUCUUCUGCUCCAUGCGAUUGUACUUGUCCUCCUGGCGAAUAGUCUUAUCCACUAACUUCUGGAAAUCAGGAUAAUCCCCAGUCAUGAGUGGGUAAGAAAGCUCAUCAUUAAGUCCUUCCAAGAACUUCUCCUGGCGCUCUUCAUCAGUGCGUACAUCUUCCGGAGUAUAACGAGCCAGACGAUUGAACUCGUGCAGAUACUCGGUAACAGAGCGAGACCCCUGAGUGAGCGACCUGAAUUCCUUCUUCUUGAGAGACACUACUCCCGAUGGUAUAUGCGUCUUCCGGAAAGCAGCGGUGAACUCAAGCCAAGUGAUAGGUUCAGCAGUAGUCCUAUUCAGACGGAAGUGAUCCCACCAUUCAGAGGCAGGGCCAUGCAACUGAUGUGAUGCAAAUGAGACCUUCUCCUGAUCGGUGCACUGAAGCAAAUCCAACUUCUUUUCUAUGGCAUGCAGCCAAUCACCAGCUUCAACAGGAUUAGUGGUGCUAGAGAAGGUAGGCGGCCUCACACGAAGAAAUUCCGCUAACUUGUUCUGGGGAGGUGCAUGGUUAUUUCCCUGGUUCUGCUGGUUCUGGAGUUGCUGCAUCAUCAUGUUCAUAAGCUGUGCCUGUUGGGCCAGGACCUGGGCAAGUGUGGGAUUCUCUCCAUUGUUGUUGUUAUUAUUGUUAUUGUUGUUGUUGGGGCCAUUCCCGUUGCUGCGAGUGAGCACCAUCUGGCAUGGACAGGAGCACAAGAAGAGAAACCAGGGGAAAACUACUUAGGACCGAGAAUUAAUUUAACUUUUAUUGAUCUUAAGUGAGUUUCAUUAUUACAAACUGAAGACUCUCACACCACUAAACUCACCAACUACCUAACACUCGAAAGCAAACAAACGCACCCACUUACAUCCCCCCCACUGAUGUAAAUCACAUGCGAGACACACACAACCAAACUUAAAACAAGCAAACUAACACAACGAUCUAAGACAACGGCUUGACAAGACAUUCUAGGUCUUCCGAGCAUCGGAGUUGAUUGAAGGCUCGUUCGGCUCGUCUUCAUCAUCUUGAGUUGCUCCCCACUCGAUCUUGGAAUGGGUGCGCUUGGAUUCUUCUUCUUCAUCAUCACUUAUAAUGAUAACCGGAGGAUCUGCUAGGGCUGGGGUAACUUCUUUCUCCACCACACGGACCUUUGGCGCCAAUUGGUAGCGAGGGACAAAUAGAGCUCUCUUCCUUGCGGUAAGAUGAAUCCUGGCCUUCUGCGGUGGUGCUUCUCCCUUCAAUGCGGCUAGUUCCUUCUUCAAACGAACCACUUUGUCUUCUAGCUUGCAAAUCUUACCACGAUUCCGAUCUUCACGAUCUUGAGCUGCUAACACAGUCUCUGCACGGGUUUCAUCCAUAGCCCACAGCAUCUCAACCAAAUGCCUUGUGGUAGCAUCAUUCUCAAUUCCUUCCGUCUCAAGGUAGCUGCCACGGUCACUUCCCUGUGGUUGACGAGGAUGGUAGCGAUACUCAGUGUCGGCCAACUGAUCACUGUAGCGAUCACGGAGCUCUCCUAUGGCGAUCCUUGCACCUCCUGACAUGUAUGGAUGUAGUUUCUUCCUCCAGCUUCGAACAUCACUGAGGGGAUAUCUUCACUAUUACUGUUCAAGGUGACUUUGACUCGGCACUUCUCUUCGUGACGAUCAUGAGGAAUCUGGGCAUAAAAAGGGGCAGUCCCAAAUCCUAUGACAAAGGACAUCGUACGCAACUCCUGGACAAAUCCCUCAACACCAAACAAGUACUCAGGCUUGUAGCGCGGCAUCUAAAGACAAGUGAAAGGAGGGAGUUAAGACAUUUAUCCAAUUAAUAGCACAAGUUUUUGGAUUAAUUUGAGUAAAGUUAGAAAAUCAAAGUAAAAGGUAAGUAAAUAAAGUAAACCAAGCUUGCAGGAUAAGUUGAAAUAGUUGGAAAUAAGGUCACAAAUUUUGUACUUUUGAACAACAGGUUUCAAAAGAAAUAAAAGAAAGUUAUAAAAUCAACAUGCUAAAUUUAUUUCAUUGCAGCAAGAUUAAAUAAAACAAUAUUGUAAAACUUUUGCUGGUAAAUGAGCCAGUAGUACAGUACUAAUAACACUGGAAUAAAUUUUGAAUGAGAACCACUAAAAAAAUAUUAUGAAAUACAUGUGCCAUUAGUUUGGUUUAAUUAAAAGAGAAAGGGAGGAGAACAGUUCUACUUUUCCAAUAUUUUUAGAGGGCUUCUAUGGGUAACCAUUUGGCAUAACCUAGGGUCAAGGAGGCUCUGAUACCAACUUGUCACGCCCGGAAUUUCUAUCCAAAAUUCCAAACGCUUACAUGUGUGUGAACCCUCAUCCAGGAAUCAUCCGAGGCACACAAUAACAAAUUGAUAAUAGAGUACAAUUCUUACUCUAAUUAAUAAACGAAUAAAAUGUCAUUACAGAGGUAGAUAGUUCCUCUCAAUCAAUAAAGAUCUAAGCAGCGGAAAGAAAAGAUAAACGGCGCAGACGACUCCACUCCACAGGCAGCUUGACCAGGGCUACACCUAAUCCUCCACCCCAUCGGCUUCACGGUAGAACUCUUCCUCUGAUGAUUGAUUGCAAGGUGAGUAUAUGACAUACUCAGCAAGUCACGCAGCAAAUAUGCAAGUGCACAGGAUAACAAAGGAUGGCAUAGUAGGGUUUCAUUUGCAUAAACAGCAUUUAAUAAACAUUUCAGAUUUUAAUAAAGCAGUUAAUAAUUAAGCAAUAUUAAUCCAACGCUAUACAAUUUGUAUAGGCCCAACCAUUCUGAACAACCAUCCCGGCUGCACAGUCCUAUCACCAAACCAGGAAUAUACCAUUCCAAACCAGGAGCUAAACAAAUUAUUACCAUUUAUAGCAUUUGUUAUCAUGAUGAGAGGUGUGAGACUAAUCACGAAUAACAUUGUUAGACCCGCCCAUAACCGCGGGCACGGCUAUUCGAAUAGUUUUACUCUGGCCAGAGGUGUACCACUGUACCCACAAGACACAGCUCCACAUCAUGUCACCAUGUGCCUCAAUACCACCACGGUAUCUCGGAAAGGAGCUGUGACAAUACCCCUUGCAUAACACAACCCACCGCAGCGCACCUGUGGACCCCCGAUUUUGGAAAUCGGAAAUCUUCUGUGUUUAUCCGUACCAAUCCCUGGAUCAGUAGUUGGUACACACAUACAUAGUUGGAUCACAACAUAUCACGAAUGAAUUUAGGCUAAAAGAGUUAAAUACUUACAUUAGGGCCAGGUAGGCCAACAACUAUCAGAGAACAACAGCGGAAGACAAAAUAAUAUAAGGGCCCGGUUAACAUGCCACAGACAGUCGACUGGGGAACGAGACCUAGAACAAGACCACACUCCGAUCAUCUUGUGGGAUACGCAAGCGUACCGACAAGGGCUUCUCUUCAACACUCUCCUAAAAGAUAUAUAAAUAGCAAGGGUGAGUACCAACCGUACUCAGCAAGCCACCAGAAUAACAAUGCAUAUGAUAGAGGGUAUUUCAAGGAAUGGCUUCAGGUCCUUUUGCAUAAAGCUAAUUUUACAAUUCUUUUCACAAGCCUAAAACCUAGCAUAGACUGAUCAAAUUUUAGUACCAGUGUUCACUUUAAACAACG